rnacentral:rRNA from 1 species
UUGGUGUGAAUUGCAGAAUCCCGUGAACCAUCGAGUCUUUGAACGCAAGUUGCGCCCGAAGCCACUAGGCCGAGGGCACGCCUGCCUGGGCGUCACGC